ACAUAGAAUAAUCUCGGAUCUUUUAGAACAAUGUUCCGAUUAUCAACAGCAGCGUUUUUCAUAAAUUUCACUUUUUUACUUUUGGUUUGUCCCGCUUUUUCGAACGCCGUCACCUUAGAAGAACUGCACAAACAAUUUCUACAACUGAAAGAAAAUUUUGAAUUCAUGGGGAUUCAAAAUGAUGUACUCUAAAAUGAAAAUGUGAAACUUGCAGUAAAAGUAUCUCGUCUAGAGACACAAAAAGGAAACGAUGAAAAAAUCGUUGAAGACUUGUUUGCAAAAAUUACUCGACUAGAGGGAGAAAUAAAACGGAAAGAAUUCUUUUCAACUUUCGAGCAUAAAAAUCAUCUUCUGGGCCCAGCUUUCAACAUAUCCUCCACAACUGAACUAAAGGCUAUUCCAACUUCUUGUGCGGAUUUGCGGAGUAUGGGACACAUCUGGAGUGGAAUAUAUUCCGUAAUGGGAUCUUCAAUGGUAGAGAAUGUUUAUUGUGACUUUACGAAGUUGCCAUCUGAAGCCGGUUUCCAGCAAUGGAUUGGAUUUGUUGAUGUAAAAUCCGUACCCAAUUAUUUCUAUGGUCAGUUAAAUGGUGAUUUUACAACACCAGAUACCCCUAUUCCCUUUCGAAAGAUAUUUUUGAAUGUCGGAGGAGGCAUGAAUGAAACCACGGGAAUAUUUACCGCACCCGUCAACGGGAAAUAUUUUUUUUCUUUAUCAGGAAUUGUGCAAAUAGUUGGAAGUCCAAAUUCCCCUGAUCCAACAACCCCAAGACCUAAAGAUUUUAUAUUGUAUAUGUUUAAGAAUGGGGUUAUUAUUGGGUCAAGCUAUACGGACGAGUCAAAUCUAUCAACACAAUUUGAAAAUUAUUCCUUGCAAUCCACUCUGGAUUUGAUCACAGGGGACCAAAUUUGGCUUGAAAUUGCAAACUCAUCAAGUAUUGGGUACGUUUAUAUGUAUAGUGGCUGUCACUUUACUGUUUUUCUGAUGGAACAAACGGAAAUUUUUCAGUUACUUGUUUUGUAAAUAAGUAAAUGAUUGAAAGUUUGAUAGAAAAGUAAAAAAGGGGAGAGCGGGGUAAUUGUGGACAAAUGUUUGUUUUUGUCCAUAAUUCAUAAAUUUUGUGCAAUACAAUAAAAAAGAAUUGUAAACUUAUAGCUGAUGGUGCCAGCAAUGUUCUGUUUUAUUUUUUAAAAUUGUCCACGUAUCGAA